CAUUGCUGGUCCAACUCAAUGCUCCUCAUAGGGAACUGGAACUGAUGCACAUGCGUGUCGAGAGCUGCAUACGCAUCAAGUGCUUCUCAUAGGAAAGCAUUGAAUCCAGUGUUUUACUAUGAGCUGCUGUGUCACCUAGUUUUACACAGCUAUUAGAGAUGCUUCUGCUGAAAUGACAAUCUUGGAAGACGACCAUUAAAGUCGUGUU